GAGUUUGAUCGUGGCUCAGAUUGAACGCUGGCGGCAUGCCUUACACAUGCAAGUCGAACGGCAGCAUGAUCUAGCUUGCUAGAUUGAUGGCGAGUGGCGAACGGGUGAGUAAUACAUCGGAACCGUGCCCUGUAGUGGGGGAUAACUAGUCGAAAGAUUAGCUAAUACCGCAUACGACCUGAGGGUGAAAGUGGGGGACCGCAAGGCCUCAUGCUAUAGGAGCGGCCGAUGUCUGAUUAGCUAGUUGGUUGGGGUAAAGGCCCACCAAGGCGACGAUCAGUAGCUGGUCUGAGAGGACGAUCAGCCACACUGGGACUGAGACACGGCCCAGACUCCUACGGGAGGCAGCAGUGGGGAAUUUUGGACAAUGGGCGAAAGCCUGAUCCAGCAAUGCCGCGUGUGUGAAGAAGGCCUCGGUGUAAGU
rnacentral:rRNA from 1 species